GACGAACGCUGGCGGCGUGCCUAAUACAUGCAAGUCGAACGAGAGCGACCGGUGCUUGCACUGGUCAAUCUAGUGGCGAACGGGUGAGUAACACGUGGGUAACCUGCCCAUCAGAGGGGGAUAACAUCCGGAAACGGAUGCUAAAACCGCAUAGGUCUUCGAACCGCAUGGUUUGAAGAGGAAAAGAGGCGCAAGCUUCUGCUGAUGGAUGGACCCGCGGUGCAUUAGCUAGUUGGUGAGGUAACGGCUCACCAAGGCCGUGAUGCAUAGCCGACCUGAGAGGGUGAUCGGCCACAUUGGGACUGAGAAACGGCCCAAACUCCUACGGGAGGCAGCAGUAGGGAAUCUUCCGCAAUGGACGCAAGUCUGACGGAGCAACGCCGCGUGAGUGAGGAAGGUUUUCGGAUCGUAAAACUCUGUUGUUAGAGAAGAACAAGUGCUAGAGUAACUGUUAGCGCCUUGACGGUAUCUAACCAGAAAGCCACGGCUAACUACGUG
rnacentral:rRNA from 1 species